GAGUUAGCAAUGAUUAUAAAAAUAAUUUUUCGUUCUGACUUGCUUAAUUUGGAUAUGACAAACCUUAUAUUAUAACCAUAUAAUUUGAGCUCC
rfam:Theobroma cacao cultivar Matina 1-6 chromosome 6, whole genome shotgun sequence.